AAAUUGAAGAGUUUGAUCAUGGCUCAGAUUGAACGCUGGCGGCAGGCCUAACACAUGCAAGUCGAACGGUAACAGAAAUCAGCUUGCUGAUU
rnacentral:rRNA from 1 species